AUGGUUAGCUCGUCGGGCUCAUAACCCGAAGGUCACAGGUUCGAGUCCUGUU
rnacentral:tRNA from 1 species